GGGCCUCUAGCUCAACUGGCAGAGCAGCGGACUUUUAAUCCGCGGGUUGUGGGUUCGAGCCCCACGGGGCCCA
rnacentral:tRNA from 4 species